GCGGCGAGCGCAGCAGGCAUAGCUCACAUUUGUAAUCUGGCUGUUUUACAGUCCGCGUUGUAGUUUCUAGAGGCGAGUUCGGUGGCAGCCCUGGUUCACGUCCGCUGGAACGCGGCGUCAUGGAGGGUGAGAAUCCCGUGAAUGAUCAGGUGUCUGUUGCUAUGUGAACCGUUUUCGAAGAGUCGAGUUGUUUGGGAAUGCAGCUCUAAAUGGGAGGUAAAUUUCUUCUAAAGCUAAAUAUUGGCCAGAGACCGAUAGCGAACAAGUAGAGUGAUCGAAAGAUGAAAAGAACUUUGAAAAGAGAGUUAAACAGUACGUGAAAUUGUUGAAAGGGAAGCGCUUGAGAUCAGACUUCCUGCGCAGACUAUCCUUGCUUCUGCUUGGGUCAAUAGUCUGUGCGUGGAGGCCAGCAUCAGUUUUGACGGUCGGAUAAAGGUUUGGGGAAGGUGGCUCACCUCGGUGAGUGUUAUAGCCCCAGAUGCAAUACGGCCAGUUGGGACUGAGGACCGCGGCUUUGCCUAGGAUGCUGGCGUAAUGGUCUUAAGCGACCCGUCUUGAAACACGGAC
rnacentral:rRNA from 1 species